rnacentral:rRNA from 1 species
AACGAACGCUGGCGGCAUGCCUAACACAUGCAAGUCGAACGAGACCUUCGGGUCUAGUGGCGCACGGGUGCGUAACGCGUGGGAACCUGCCCUUAGGUUCGGAAUCACUCCCCGAAAGGGGUGCUAAUACCGGAUAAUGUCUUCGGACCAAAGAUUUAUCGCCUUUGGAUGGGCCCGCGUUGGAUUAGCUAGUUGGUAGGGUAAAAGCCUACCAAGGCGACGAUCCAUAGCUGGUCUGAGAGGAUGAUCAGCCACACUGGGACUGAGACACGGCCCAGACUGCGACGGGAGGCAGCAGUGGGGAAUAUUAGACGAUGGGCGAAAGCCUGAUCCAGCAAUGCCGCGUGAGUGAUGAAGGCCUUAGGGUUGUAAAGCUCUUUUACACGGGAUGAUAAUGACAGUACCGGGAGAAUAAGCUCCGGCUAACUCCGUG